GGGGGCGAUAGGUUUCGACUGAGAGAUUGAGUGCUUAGGUCGCAAGUCGAGGCGCCGCUGGCCUCGUAAAAAGCGGCAAAAAAACAAACGCGAACACUAAGUUCACCACAGCCCGUACUUCGUACGCGCUGGCUGCCUAACUAACCCUUAGGUAGUAUUGCGCCGCCUACGGGCGGUCCGUUUCCUCUUCUCAAGCCCGCCGGGAAGACCGAGGCGUAAAUAAACGGGAUCACGCUUAAGUAUCGCUUUCUGGCUUAAGCGGACAUCAAAGGAAAGAUCGCGCGGCUGGCAGCCCGCCAAUAGGCGGCCGAAGCGCUAAAAUUAAAUUGUUGGCUAUGCUUGUAGACGCCUAGGUUUUCGCUGCUUAGGACGAGGGUUCAACUCCCUCCGCCUCCACCA
rnacentral:tmRNA from 1 species